GUCCAAGGUUGUGUAGAAGAGGCUCACGAGGGUCCGACUUGGUCUCGAUUGAAAGAACUUCAAGAGUUGAAAUUUUUCAACAAGAGCAACCAGAGGUAUUCACCCUUGGUCAGUCACUUACAGAAUGAUCAAACUUCUGGUCUGGGAGUCCACAGUGGGCGGAGCUGCCCGAUUUAUCCAACCGUGGCUGAAUCGUCCAACUGUCUGUGGCUGUUUUAUCCCAACCGUCGUCCAUGCCCCCCCGAGAGCAAGCUUGGACCCCCUGUGCCUCCCCUCAAAAGGAAGAGGCUACGUCAUUAAUAAAUAUAUAGAUUUUUUGCGAUAAUUUGACCCUAACGAGAGAUGCGGAACCAAAGUUUGGCUCAAGUUUCCAGUUGGAUCCUAUAGAGCGAUACACCGCCAGUGGCAGGCUGAAGCCGGCUGAAGCAGAUUUCUAACCGCCUGCUCGGAGCGAAAGAAAACGCAGCCAGACUAGAGGAGAAUUAACGAUAUCUGCAAGACCAGGGAGGACCCUCCAAUGCAGCCAAACCUGAAAAUCUUUCCACGGACCUUGACGGGGGACCGUAGGAGAAGUUUUAAGGCGGCGUGUCAAUCGGUAUCUGCAUAUUGUUAUGCUUGCAGACAUUUUAGCCAACCUAAAACCACAGACACUGUAUUUGAUGCACCAUCUGGAUACAAGAAGUGGAAGAAGGCAACGUACAGUUUUUCAAUCCAUGCCAAGUCUGAGAGGCACAAACAAGCAUGGAGGGACUAUCAAAGAAGUGUAACUACUAAUGCAACACUGGCAAAUGCCCUGAACAAGGACAAUAGGAGAAGUGCUACUACUUACUGCCACUCAGAACAUUGCUCAGAGAGGACACAACGAAUCUGCUGCCUCAGAUAAUGAAGGGAACUUUAUGGCAAUUCUAGAAACAAUUGCUAACCAUGACAACACUGUGAAGUAAAGGUUGACAUCUAUUCAUAAAGUAAAGUACACAAGUAAAAUCAUUCAGAAUGAGAUUCUGGGUUGCCUGGCAGACAUGGUUCAACAUGAAAUUACAGAAGAAGUAAAAAGCAGUGGAGUCUUUAGCAUCAUAGCAGACGAAACAAAAGAUGUAAAAGAAAAAAAAGAGCAAAUUUCAGUAGUACUCAGAUACUAUUACAAUGGAGCAAUUAAUGAAAGUUUUCUCCAUUUUGAAUCUGCUGAGAGACUAGAUGCAGACAGGCUUAGUGAGAAAAUAAUCCACAUAUUGGAGAGUCAUGGUCUAGAAUACAAAAACAAUCUUGAUGGCCAGGCAUGCGAUAGUGCUGCUCAAAAUAUGCCUUUUACAUCCAUUGCAAUGCCCACUGUCUUGAUUUAGUUUUAGUAGAUACAGUCAAAGCUGUCCCAGAGGCAGAGGAAUUCUUCUCAUUGCUAGAAAAACUGUAUGUGUUCACUUUUGGAUCAUAUGUCCAACCCAAAUGGCUAGCGAUACAAAAAGACAUGUAUGAAGCUGCACCAAGAGAGCUACAGCAAAUGAGUGACACACAAUGGGCGUGACAAUUUAUAUCGCUGCGAAGCAUUGUGGAUAGAUUACCUGCCCUUAAGUGAGUGGUGCAAGAGAUAGCUCAAGAUCACAAAGGUGAAAGAUCUAUUGAGGCCCGAGGUCAACUGGCACAGAUAGACUUUGCUUUCAUAGUGCAUCCUGUGAUCCUCUGUAAAGUGUUUGGUGAAACAAAACUGUUGUCUGACAUGCCACAGUCAUCAUCACUUGAUAUUUCAAGAGCUGUUGAUUUGGUUAAUGCUUUGGUUCAGACAUUGAAUGACUUCAGGCAGAAGUCAUUUUUUGAUAACUUGUGGAAUGAAGUGUUGAACAUUCCUGAGCAAUGUGAUUGUGCAGUACAAGCAGCAACAAAACAUCCAAAAAAGCUAAGCUGUAAACUUGGUGAAUAUUGUGUUCUGACUAGUGUUGGUCAGAGAGAGUCAGAACAAGAUAAAGACUGUUUUUGGACAGCCUUUUUAUUACCCUGUCAUUGAUCAAAUGCUCAAUGAGCUCAACAAACGAUUUUUAAAGACAAGCUGUGACAUUAUGAAUAGCAUCCAAGCUCUAAAUCCCCAAAGUGAUUCAUUUCUGAAUGAGACAACGCUGUUUUCAUUUGCUCGAUUGUAUGAUUCAAAUGUUGAUGACUUGGGGCACGAACUGCAUCAGUUUGGUCGCAUUUUAGAAAGGAAAUUACAGACGGGGAUGCAAAGACCCUCUACUGUAGUGGAUCUGACACUGUUUAUUGAGCUGUAUCAAGAAGCAUUUUUUGAGCUCUUCAGACUCUGCAAAAAAGCAGUUGCAAUCCCAGUGAGUACUGUGUCUUGUGAGCGGGUUAGGGUUAGGGUUAGUUUUUCUACCCUAAAGCUGGUGAAAACCUUCCUUGGGUCAAAAAUAACUGAUGGGAGAUAAAGCAAUCUGGGUGUACUAAGUAUUGAGUCUAGGAGGGCAAAGGCUUUGAAUCUUGACCUAUUUUUUGAUCGGUUUGCCAAAAAUCACAUAAUCCGCAGAAUACAGCUACUGUAAUAUGGAAUUUUUCGAACAUACAGACUGGGAUACAGAGUCCCACUUUUACAGUGGAGCUGGUACUCAUAUUGUCACUGAAACAGGUAACAUUCUCUGAGAGACUGAAAUAUUUUCAGCAAAGUAGAGUUAUAUUUUUUUAAAUAUUGUUACUGAAAAAAAUAUUGUAUCUGAAACAAGUAACUGUAACUGAGUUGAUUUAAAUUCUGCAGUAAAACUUUGAAAUACUCGAAGGCAGUCUUUGUCUUUUUUUUUUUUUCUCACAGAGAAUGUGCCUCUCUGACAAAGCAACUGGCCCCAGCCUGCCCCCCUCUGAAGCUGGUCUAGAACCACCAGUGAAAGAUCUUCAAGAGUUGAACAUUUUCAACAAGAGUAACAGGAGAUGUUCACCCUAGCUCAGUCACUUACAGAAUGAUAAAGGUUUAGGUCUGGGAGUCUAGAGUGGGCGGAGCGUCCCUGUUUAUCCUACCGGCCAUGGCUGAUUCAUCUGAUCAUGUCUGACUGUAGCAGCCUAGACGGCGAGAGUUAACGGUUUAUUGAGCCAUAUCAAGAAGUAUUUUUUCUUUCUCAUAUUGUCACUGACACAGGUAACAUUCUCUGAGAGAUUGAAAUAUUUUCAGCAAAGUAGAGUUAUAUUUUUUAAAUAAUGUUACUGAAAAACAUAUUGUAUCUGAAGCAAGUGACUGUAACUGAGUUGAUUUAAAUUCUGCAGUAAAACUCUGAAAUACU